UGUGGCUGCUCUCCAGUUACCCAUGUUAUGGAAGGGAAUUAUGAUAUAAUAAUUGUAAGAAGAAUGGUCCAAACCAGUUCCUUGUAUUGACACCAUUGUAGAAGAGACAGUGAUGGCAGACAUGAUUGGUGCUUCUCUCUGAGUAAGCUGUUAGAGAAGCACAAUUCUACCCAGUGCAAUUGCUGUAAACCAAAAAGAAGGAGUUCAUACCGGGGUUUACAUAGGCAAGAUUCAGCAGGAAUUAGGAGGAAUUAAUUUCAUACCUAUCUUUAAAUGUGUGAUCAAAUCUAGGUGUAGUGGCACAUACCUUUAAUCCCUGCACUCUGGAAACAGGCAGGCAUAUCUCUGAUUUCAAGGCCAGCCUGGUCCACAUAGUGAGUUCCUGACUGGCCAAGGUUUAUAUAUAUAGUGAUGAUUGUGUGAUAGAUUCUAAUGCCCAUGGUGUCUUUAAAAUGCAGUCCAUUAGAAUCCACUUUAGUGUGUCAGCAGUGACAUUAGUUUUAUCCCUGUGUACUGAGAUUCACUUAGCACAUAUGUUGCUCAAGUGGAAAUGAUGCUUAGGGUGUGUAUACUUCUGAUUAUACAAGCUGAAAAAUUGGACUACCUGUAGAUAAUGCUAAAUAGAUAUUUUUUCUCACUUAUUUCUUAAGAGUUUCUUAAAAUAGAUAGUAUUAUUUUAGGAUUUAUAACAGUUUUAUAACAUGUCCUAAAGACUGACUACAUACAAAUAAGUUUAUUGUUGCAAAUCUCUUCUAAAACUAAAGUAUGUCCUUUGUAAGUUUGCUCUUUUACAAUGACCUAAACAACUUCUUAGCCCGCUUUUCCUUCCAAGUUAAAUGACUAAAUUGACUCUGAUUCUGAGUCCAAGUAUGUUCUGCAUUUUUCUGUACCUUCUGUUCAAGUCUGUGACUUAAAAGUGCUGAGGCACAGUACUGGUGUGUGACAAUAUAUAGAAGGCUCCAAGAAUGUCACUCCUAUCCCUUAAAGGUUGGUGUGUGGCCCUGAUCCAGCCCUGGAGGCCCACAUGGGUGAGAAGCCCAGAAGCCCAUGCAAGCUGAAAGCACUCCCAAGGAGUCUGGUUUUGUUUGGGUUUGUUCUAGGUAUGGUCCCAGGGAUCCCAGAUCAAACCAGGCCCCUGGGCCUAUCCUAGAACCAACCUAAACCCGUGCAUCAUUCCUGGAACACCCAGAGGAUGAAGACCGAAGAUAACUGAGGCUGACUACACAUCCUGUACUCACCAAGAUUCAGUUCUUAUAUAUGUACCUAUUGUUUAGCAAGCCCUGGCUGGUUAAUCUGUCUGGAGUCAAAAUAACAAUAUUUGGUAAUAACAAAGUCUCCCGAGGCUGAUACCCCAGUAGUUUCCUAUGGUAGAAAUUCUAUGUGGUUGUUAUUAAUUCCCAGUGAGGAGAACUGGUCUUGUGAUUUUUAUCGUCAGAUAAAACUGAUUUAAAUGUCUAUUUUAAAAAGCAGCAAUGUAGCCACAAAACCGUUCUCAAAACAGCCUUCUUCCAAACUGGACAAAUUGUCUUUUCUUAACUACUUCCAGUGAUGUCUAACCAGUCUCUGUCAGCUGUAUGCUUUAUUGGCACUUUCGGAACGGCAAGCAUCUGUCUUCGUCUUCCCACUCUAAUGCUGAGUGGCUCUAAGUUCUUGUUUCAGAAAUUAGUAUGUUUUCCCUGUCACUGGGUCUGCUGCGCAGCAGAGCUCCUUUUAAGGUUUCUGUGGCUCAGGACCAUGAGUAUGGUGAGGUAGUAGAUGGUUAAGCCCGUGGAUUUUGCAGCAGUAUUGUGCAGAAGAAAAUUUUAAGAACUUCAGUUUUCUUCCUGAUCUAAUAAAUAUAUGUUAUGACCUCAUAAUCUAGCUGGCAUUACUAGAGUCAACUGUGUGUUUAUUUGUUUUGAUUUGGAAGACAAGAAUUCUGAAAAUGCAUGAAGACCCAAACUGAAAAAUUAUGGUAAGCAUUGACAAUUUAUGCUUUUGAUGUUUUGUGCAGACUAAUAAACUCUCCAUACAUAAGGAACUC
rnacentral:lncRNA from 1 species